UCAGUCCCUGAGUUGUUCUGCAUUUACACCCCUUUGUCUCGUAGUGGAAUCUACUUUAAGACCUUUCGACUUGAAAGCUGCCCCUUUCGGAGUUUUAUUGCACUGCGAUAUAAACCGCGUUAGUUAUUUAAUUAUCGCCGCCUACUAAGAACAUUGUAGUAUGCUAAAAAACGCCCAAAUCUGCUAUCAUCUGUCAUGUUGUUAUCUUCAUUAAGCGAUACCUGUGAGUCAGUUAGACCUGCGCAUUCGUACCAAUUUCCCACACAGUGCGAAUCCCAGGACAUCGGACUGGGGACACAGAGGAAGGGAUAUAUGUCCAUUGCCAAUAUAACACAGUGCAAACCAUCCUUCAGACGUCAAGACGCCCGAAUCUAAGGCAGCGUGAUAAAGCCUUUCUCUGUCUGCAUCUCUCUGAUGGGUCCCAGGAAGAAGGCCAGCUGUGAAGUAACAGUGAAUGUGUUGUGACUCUGUCCUGUGUGACAGUAACAUAUGUUUCUCUAGCCCUUAGAGUACGGAGCGUACAGUUUUGAUGCCUGACGCGGUUCUCUUGUCGCGGUAAUGCGCUUACGGUAGAAUAACGAUGCUGUUUUUCCCCGUGCGCGUCUCUCUGUGGAUUCAGAGAAGUUGUUCUACCAAGAACUGCCUUUUUUUUUUUUUUUUGCUUUCACUUUCUAAACGUUUCAACGUUGUCCCGCCUAAGGCCAAUAAUCAGUUUUAACAUUAGAGUAAUUAAAUACAUAAUAAAAUAAACUACUGUAAUAUACGGUACGGAAUUCAUUUUUCAUUUAAGGUCUUUUAAACUACAUUACCAAUGUUUUUUAAAAAAACACUUUAAAUUAAUAUUUUAAGCAUAUUUCUUUCACAAAGGCAUGACAUUUAUUGAUAUUUU